rnacentral:rRNA from 1 species
UACGGAGGGUGCGAGCGUUGUCCGGAAUCACUGGGCGUAAAGGGCGCGUAGGUGGCGGUCCAAGUCAACGGUGAAAGCUCGGGGCUCAACCCCGAGUCGGCCGUCGAUACUGGGUUGCUUGAGCACUGUAGAGGCAGACGGAAUUCCGGGUGUAGCGGUGGAAUGCGUAGAGAUCCGGAGGAAGACCGGUGGCGAAGGCGGUCUGCUGGGCAGUUUCUGACACUGAGGCGCGACAGCGUGGGGAGCAAACAGG